rnacentral:rRNA from 1 species
AGUGAACGCUGGCGGUAGGCCUAACACAUGCAAGUCGAACGGCAGCACAGUAAGAGCUUGCUCUUACGGGUGGCGAGUGGCGGACGGGUGAGGAAUACAUCGGAAUCUACUUUUUCGUGGGGGAUAACGUAGGGAAACUUACGCUAAUACCGCAUACGACCUACGGGUGAAAGCAGGGGAUCUUCGGACCUUGCGCGAUUGAAUGAGCCGAUGUCGGAUUAGCUAGUUGGCGGGGUAAAGGCCCACCAAGGCGACGAUCCGUAGCUGGUCUGAGAGGAUGAACCGCCACACUGGAACUGAGAAACGGUCCAGACUCCUAAGGGAGGCAGCAGUGGGGAAUAUUGGACAAUGGGCGAAAGCCUGAUCCAGCCAUACCGCGUGGGUGAAGAAGGCCUUCGGGUUGUAAAGCCCUUUUGUUGGGAAAGAAAAGCAGCAGGUUAAUACCCCGCUGUUCUGACGGUACCCAAAGAAUAAGCACCGGCUAACUUCGUG